UCGAGCGGAAGGCCACUUCGGUGGUACUCGAGCGGCGAACGGGUGAGUAACACGUGAGUAAUCUGCCCUCCACUUUGGGAUAGCCACCGGAAACGGUGAUUAAUACCGGAUAUGACCUCGCAUCGCAUGGUGUGUGGUGGAAAGUUUUUCGGUGGGGGAUGUGCUCGCGGCCUAUCAGCUUGAUGGUGGGGUAAUGGCCUACCAUGGCUUCGACGGGUAGCCGGCCUGAGAGGGUGACCGGCCACACUGGGACUGAGACACGGCCCAGACUCCUACGGGAGGCAGCAGUGGGGAAUAUUGGACAAUGGGCGGAAGCCUGAUCCAGCAACGCCGCGUGAGGGAUGACGGCCUUCGGGUUGUAAACCUCUUUCAGCACAGACGAAGCGAAAGUGACGGUAUGUGCAGAAGAAGCACCGGCCAACUACGUGCCAGCAGCCGCGGUAAUACGUAGGGUGCGAGCGUUGUCCGGAAUUAUUGGGCGUAAAGGGCUCGUAGGCGGUUUGUCGCGUCGGGAGUGAAAACACACAGCUUAACUGUGUGCUGGCUUCCGAUACGGGCAGACUAGAGGUAUGCAGGGGAGAACGGAAUUCCUGGUGUAGCGGUGAAAUGCGCAGAUAUCAGGAGGAACACCGGUGGCGA
rnacentral:rRNA from 1 species